rnacentral:rRNA from 1 species
UACGUAGGGCGCAAGCGUUAUCCGGAAUUAUUGGGCGUAAAGAGCUCGUAGGCGGUUUGUCGCGUCUGCCGUGAAAGUCCGGGGCUCAACUCCGGAUCUGCGGUGGGUACGGGCAGACUAGAGUGAUGUAGGGGAGACUGGAAUUCCUGGUGUAGCGGUGGAAUGCGCAGAUAUCAGGAGGAACACCGAUGGCGAAGGCAGCUUGCUGGGCCACACCUGACGCUGAGUCACGAAAGCGUGGGGAGCGAACAGG